GCCGCUGCCUAUUCAUGCAGUCCGAACGCUUUGUGGUUCAACUGAUUUGAAGAAGCUUGCUCAGAUAUGACGAUGGACAUUGCAAAGAGUGGCGAACGGGUGAGUAACACGUGGGAAACCUACCUCUUAGCAGGGGAUAACAUUUGGAAACAGAUGCUAAUACCGUAUAACAAUGACAACCGCAUGGUUGUUAUUUAAAAGAUGGUUCUGCUAUCACUAAGAGAUGGUCCCGCGGUGCAUUAGCUAGUUGGUAAGGUAAUGGCUUACCAAGGCGAUGAUGCAUAGCCGAGUUGAGAGACUGAUCGGCCACAAUGGGACUGAGACACGGCCCAUACUCCUACGGGAGGCAGCAGUAGGGAAUCUUCCACAAUGGGCGAAAGCCUGAUGGAGCAACGCCGCGUGUGUGAUGAAGGGUUUCGGCUCGUAAAACACUGUUGUAAGAGAAGAAUGACAUUGAGAGUAACUGUUCAAUGUGUGACGGUAUCUUACCAGAAAGGAACGGCUAAAUACGUGCCAGCAGCCGCGGUAAUACGUAUGUUCCAAGCGUUAUCCGGAUUUAUUGGGCGUAAAGCGAGCGCAGACGGUUAUUUAAGUCUGAAGUGAAAGCCCUCAGCUCAACUGAGGAAUUGCUUUGGAAACUGGAUGACUUGAGUGCAGUAGAGGAAAGUGGAACUCCAUGUGUAGCGGUGAAAUGCGUAGAUAUAUGGAAGAACACCAGUGGCGAAGGCGGCUUUCUGGACUGUAACUGACGUUGAGGCUCGAAAGUGUGGGUAGCAAACAGGAUUAGAUACCCUGGUAGUCCACACCGUAAACGAUGAGUGCUAGGUGUUUGAGGGUUUCCGCCCUUAAGUGCCGCAGCUAACGCAUUAAGCACUCCGCCUGGGGAGUACGACCGCAAGGUUGAAACUCAAAGGAAUUGACGGGGACCCGCACAAGCGGUGGAGCAUGUGGUUUAAUUCGAAGCAACGCGAAGAACCUUACCAGGUCUUGACAUCCCUUGACAACUCCAGAGAUGGAGCGUUCCCUUCGGGGACAAGGUGACAGGUGGUGCAUGGUUGUCGUCAGCUCGUGUCGUGAGAUGUUGGGUUAAGUCCCGCAACGAGCGCAACCCUUAUUACUAGUUGCCAGCAUUCAGUUGGGCACUCUAGUGAGACUGCCGGUGACAAACCGGAGGAAGGUGGGGAUGACGUCAAAUCAUCAUGCCCCUUAUGACCUGGGCUACACACGUGCUACAAUGGCGUAUACAACGAGUUGCCAACCCGCGAGGGUGAGCUAAUCUCUUAAAGUACGUCUCAGUUCGGAUUGUAGGCUGCAACUCGCCUACAUGAAGUCGGAAUCGCUAGUAAUCGCGGAUCAGCACGCCGCGGUGAAUACGUUCCCGGGUCUUGUACACACCGCCCGUCACACCAUGAGAGUUUGUAACACCCAAAGCCGGUGGGGUAACCUUCGGGAGCCAGCCGUCUAAGGUGGGACAGAUGAUUAGGGUGAAGUCGUAACAAGAGGAAA
rnacentral:rRNA from 1 species